rnacentral:tRNA from 1 species
UCCCUGGUAUCUCAGAUUGUAAAGAGUCUGCCUGCAAAGCAGGAGACCUGGGUUCCAUCCCUGGGUCGGGAA